UCGAGGAUCUUCCGCAAUGGGCGAAAGCCUGACGGAGCGACGCCGCGUGUGGGAUGAAGGCCUUCGGGUUGUAAACCACUGUAACCUGUUACGAAAGGGUCCGGUGUUAACAGCAUCGGAAACUGACGAAGGCAGGAGAGUAAGCCACGGCUAACUUCGUGCCAGCAGCCGCGGUAAGACGAAGGUGGCGAGCGUUGUUCGGAAUCACUGGGCAUAAAGCGCACGUAGGCGGCGUCGUAAGUUGGGUGUGAAAUCCCUCGGCCCAACCGAGGAACUGCGCCCAAGACUGCGAUGCUUGAGGACCAAAGGGGUGAUCGGAAUUUCCGGUGGAGCGGUGAAAUGCGUUGAUAUCGGAAGGAACGUCGGCGGCGAAAGCGGAUCACUGGUUGGUUACUGACGCUGAGGUGCGAAAGCCAGGGGAGCAAACGGGAUUAGAUACCCCGGUAGUCC
rnacentral:rRNA from 1 species